rnacentral:rRNA from 1 species
CUUAUCAUGCAGUCACCUUGAUCUUACAGAUAGCAAUAUUGUAAGGAGAGUGGCGCACGGGUGAGUAACACGGUAGGUAAUCUACCUUCAAGACUGACAUAAUUCAGCGAAAGCUGGACUAAUAUCAGAUAAAGCAGUGAUCUGGCAUCAGGUUACUGUCAAAACUUCGGUGCUUGAAGAUGAGCCUGCGGUCCAUUAGACAGUUGGCGGGGUAACGGCCCACCAAAUCAACGAUGGAUAGCUGGUCUGAGAGGAUGAUCAGCCACACUGGAACUGAGACACGGUCCAGACUCCUACGGGAGGCAGCAGUAAGGAAUAUUGCUCAAUGGCCGCAAGGCUGAAGCAGCAACGCCGCGUGAAGGAUGAAGGGAUUUUUCUUGUAAACUUCUGUAAGAGGGGAAAAAUGUACUUGAUUUAUCGAGUAUUGGAUUGUACCUUCGGAGUAAGCCCCGGCUAACUACGUGCCGGCGUCCGCGGUAAUACAUAGGGGGCAAGCGUUGUCCGGGAUUUACUGGGUGAU